rnacentral:rRNA from 1 species
UACGUAGGCAGCGAGCGUUGUUCGGAUUCACUGGGCGUAAAGGGUGCGUAGGUGGUGAGGUAAGUCGGAUGUGAAAUCUCCGGGCUCAACCCGGAAAUGGCAUUGGAAACUACCUUGCUGGAGGAUUUGAGGGGGGAUUGGAAUACUUGGUGUAGCAGUGAAAUGCGUAGAUAUCAAGUGGAACACCAGUGGCGAAGGCGAAUCCCUGGAAAAUACCUGACACUGAGGCACGAAAGCUAGGGGAGCAAACAGG